rnacentral:lncRNA from 1 species
AACCAAUGGACGGUGGCGACCACAAGUGCGGAGAUAACCAAGCGGUGGGGAGAUGGACUCUUGUAGGAACUACAGCUUUGGUCACCGGAGGCACUAAAGGAAUCGGGUAUCGUCAUCUUUCUUCAUACAUUUGCUCAUCCACCUCACAGCACAAACAAGUUCAUACUGAAAUCUGGAGUCUAAUUCGUGCCGAAAUUAAGGAGCUUAUGUCCAUCUUAUUAUGAGGUUUUCUCUUCCGUUCUUUUAUGGUGAUCAGACAUGCCAUAGUAGAAGAACUAGCGAGAUUUGGUGCAGCCGUCCAUACCUGCUCUCGAAACGAAGCAGAGCUCAACGAGUGCUUGCAACAAUGGAGAGCUUUGAACCUCAAGAUCACCGGCUCCGUCUGCGACGUCUCAUCUGACGUCGAGAGGGAGAAACUGAUGCAGACUGCGAACUCCGUCUUCCAUGGAAAGCUCCAUAUCUUGGUGAGAUUGUCGGCCGACUUAAGCGUCAGCAUUUAAUCCAUCCGAAGAAGAUGAUAACGCAUCUACGCUUCUUCCUCAUCCUCGCUGAUGCUCGUGGUGUAGGUAAACAAUGCCGGGACGUUGAUUUGUAAACCGGUGGUGGAGCAUACCCCAGAGGACUACAGACGUAUCAUUAGCACCAACUUGGACUCUGCCUUCCAUCUGAGCCAGCUUGCCCAUCCUCUUCUCAAGGCGUCAGGAAGAGGCUGCAUCGUCAACAUCUCCUCCGUCAGUGGCUUCGUCGCCAUCGAUUCUGCAUCCGUCUAUGCAGCAACUAAAGGUUACAUGUCACAGACACAACCGUCUCGCAUCACGAAUCUAAUAGUACUUUUCUUCUUCUUCUUCUUUCUUCAGGAGCACUGAACCAGCUGACGAGGAGCCUUGCUUGCGAGUGGGCAAAGGACAACAUUCGAGUUAACUGCGUCGCUCCCGCGUACAUCAGAACUCCACUCAUUCAGACCGUAAUGGUUCUAUCUGUUCUCCCUCCUGAAUAGGAAUCAUCAAAACCUCGUGAACUCUUCUUCCUCCUCCUCGUACUGCAUGGCUGUGUGACGCACCAGUGUUUACAAUCUCAACAGCUAUCCGAAGACGAAGAGUUCGUAGCGAGGGAGGCUCGUCGCGUUCCUCUGGGGCGGCUGGGUGAGCCAGAAGAGGUGGCGGCCGUGGUGGCUUUCCUCUGCCUCCCCGUUUCCGACUACGUCGAUGGCCAAGUCAUCAUCGUGGAUGGAGGUCGGACUGUGAACGGCAACAAUUGAAGUCUCCAUUACCACACGAUUGCUGCCAUCUAUGUUGUUCCGAGAAGCAAUACCAUCAACAUAGUUGUGCUUGGUGUGGUCGUAAUAGGUAAUGCAUUCCCGUUCUAAAUAAGAUAGCCAUCUAAAGAAUCUUUCUCGGCACAAUAAAGCUAUUUCGAUCAUGGCAAUAUCAAAUGCAGUUCCCAAUAGAUUCCUUGAUAUGUUGCCAAGCAAUCACUGAGUCAACAUAUCCCAGCUGGGCUACCGACACUGCCCAAACAGAUAUAUGCAAUCAGUGAGACUUGAAACUGAAUUAUCAGCACAUAACGAUAUACAAUGAAUGAUUAUAUGUGGGGGAAUAAAAAAGGACAAGUGAGCAUUUCGUAUAAAAGGCUCAUAUUUUUUGACUACUUACCGAGAGACUAUAGUUUGUUAAAAUACGCAGAAUCCCUUUAUAUAAAAAAAUUUAUUUUCUCGACAAAAAUCGGCCAAUUAAAUCGAAUGGGACCGAUCACAGUAAUAUAUAUUUUUUAAUUAGUAGCCAAAAUAAGGAUUAUAGUUUUAUUUUUGUUACUGAAUCAAAAAUACUAUACCUAAUUUAUUAAAAUAAAAUAUUUAUAACUUCAUAAAAAAAAAUACUAUGAAUAUUUAGAAAAGAUAGAAACUUUAUUAUGAGAAAUAUAAAAACAUUGGAUACUAUCUUGGAGAAGCUCAAAGUAGGUUUUGCCUGUAAAUCACCAAAUAAGUAAAAUAAAAAAAAGAAAAAUACUAGUUUUAGACAAUUGGAGCUUUUGGGUUGAAAGUCAUAAUGACAACCAUAAACGAAUAGGAAUUGCUACGGGCAUUAAGAUUGGUAAGAAGGAGUCGAGCAUCUUUUUUCUUAAUACAAUGUCAUAAUUUGAAAGCAAAAAAAAAAAAUAAAACAACAACAAAGUAGACAAGGAAAAGAAAAUGCAACAGGGAGCCGAGCCUCAAAAAGUAAGAAGAACUUGAUACUAGAAAGAAUUUGUUAUAAAUGAGAUAAUUUUAUCGAGGUAAUAUAUAUUUAUACAUGUUGUGAGAAAGAAAGUUUACUUAAUCAUAUGUUCAAAUUAUGCAUUCAAAUCAUAUCUUCAAAUUAUAAAUUAAUUAAAAAUUAAAAAUAUAAAAUUAUCAUUUCAUAUUUACCUAUAUCAUGUGGAUUGUGAAGUUAAUCCACAUGGGAGAUUAUAGAGCAUUGAGGGCUAAGUUACUGAUGCCACAAUCUUUUGUCCAUCUCAUACCAUACCAACGAAGAUUCGGAGUCAGUCAUAUUUAUCUACAGAAAUUACAAUGUAAUUUGGUAAAUGCGUGUGGCACCACUGCAACUAUUGACCCAAUCUGCGUACUAUUUCCACACUUACAAAUCGAGAGGACUGAGAUCUGGAUUGAAGUAGGAGAAAGAAGAAGCAGAAGGAGGAGGAAAACAAUGGAAGAUGGAGACCAGAAGUGCGGAGAUAACCAAGCGGUGGGGAGAUGGACUCUUGUAGGAACGACAGCUUUGGUCGCCGGAGGCACUAAAGGAAUGGGGUAUCGUCAUCUUUCUUCAUACAUCUACUCAUCUACUUCACAGCACAGACAAGUUCAUACAGAAAUCUAAGGUCUAAUGCCUGCCGAAAUGAAGUAGCUUAUGUCCAUGUCUAUUAUGAGAUUCUUUUCUCACUUCUUUUAUGGUGAUCAGACAUGCCAUAGUCGAAGAGCUAGCUAGGUUUGGAGCAGCCGUCCAUACCUGCUCUCGGAACGAAGCAGAGCUCAGCAGAUGCUUGCAGCAGUGGAGAGCUUCGAACCUCAAGGUCACAGGGUCCGCGUGCGACGUCUCCUCUCCAGUUGAGAGAGAGAAACUAAUGGAGAAUGUCAAGUCCAUCUUCCAUGGAAAGCUCAACAUUUUGGCGAGUCGAGUCGAGUCUCGUAGUUGACCUUAGAAUGAGCGUAACGUGGACAGUAAUGGGUUUGCUGUUUGCGUAGGUCAACAACGCAGGAACGGGCUUUCAGAGACGGGUGACGGACGUGACUCUUACAAGCUGCUGAUGAGUACCAACUUGGACUCUGCCGUCCAUUUGAGCCAGCUCGCUCAUCCUCUUCUCAAGGCAUCAGGAAGUGGCAACAUUGUGUUCAUCUCCUCCAUAACAAGCCUCAUCGGCAUGGAUACUAUAGCCGUCUAUGCAGCAACCAAAGGUACGCACUCGGUAACUUGGUUCCUCUAUGAGCUCUUCAACAUGCAAGCGCUCAUCAUCUGCUGCUGUUGGCUUCUUCUUCGUCUUGUUCAGCAAUGAAUCAGCUCACCAGGAGCCUCGCUGUUGGGUCCAGCCCAUAGGUGAGCUUGGACCGAUUGAUUUGGGCAUUGAGCCCAAAUUCGAUGUAUUUAAGAAAAAGGAAAAAAAUGAGGUGCGCGACGUGAGUAGGGUAGCGAACGUGUUCAUGAGCCGAGAAAAGAAAUAGAGAGAGAAAAUUAAGAUUGUGAAGAAUCUUGUUACAAUCUUAAUACUAUCGAUAUACUGUUUAUUCUCUUUAAGAUGCUUUUUUGCUAUACCUAUUUGGUAUGAUCUAAAAUUUUUCUUUCAUAAAAUUCAGAUGAUGAUGAUAUAUUAUUAUUGAGCCAAAAUAUAUGAUCUUGAUGUUAUUAUGAUCCUCUGAUUAUUAUGAAGAAGAGUUAUUAUAAACAUGAUGAUAAUGGAUAUUUGAAUUGGAAUACGGUCUCAUGAUUUUUCUCGUAUUUGAUUUUUUUACAUAAAAAAUUUGAUGUCUCAUAAAAAAUUAUUCCACCAUAAUAGUUUUUCUCAAUAAGUAGUAUCAGAACUUAUGGUUGUUUAGUGCCAGUUUUUUUGUGUGAUUGAAAUAAAGGAGUCAGAUGAUCUGAUUAAAAUGAAUUCAUCAAAUUAUUCCACCUGGAGGGGUAUGUCAGAAGAUUUACUCUAUUGCAAAGAUUUGUAUAAGGAUAUUAAAGUUUAAAACAAAUCUUCUAUUAUAGAAGACAAGGAAUGAGAGGUUCAAGAUAGAAAAGUUUUUGCCUAUAUUAAAAGAUGAAUUGAUAUAAAUUUAUAUGAGCAUAUUUCUGAUGAAACCAAAGCUGAUGUUAUUUAGCAAUAUUAGAAAAUCUCUUUGCAAAAAAGAUAGUAGGAAACAUAAUUCUCUCAUCAAAAGACUUAUUAAUUUGAAGAAUAAAGAUGGUUGUAAUGAGCACAUAAGCCUAUUUCAGAGUCUUGCAAAUAAGUUGGUUGCUAUAAAAAUGAAUAUAAAUGAGAUGUAAAUAUUUUUAGUUCUUAGCUCUUUACUGAAAAAUUGAGAAAUAUAUUUGGCGAUAAUUUGUAACUCCAUAUGAGAGGGGACUCUAACUAUAGAUAUGGUUAAAGACAAUUUGCUAAAUGAAAAUGCUAGAAGGAAAGAGCAGGGAGAAUCUUCUUUUGGUGCACUUGUUAUUGAAAAAUAAGAAAAACGUGGAAGAAGUCAUAGUAGAAAUCCACACGGUUAUAGAGGAAGAUCCAAGUUUAAAAAAGAUAUUAAGUAUUUCCACUACAACAUACUAGGUUACAUGAAGAAAGAGCAUAGGUUUUGGAAGCAAGAACAAAAUGAAAGAAAGAAAAAUAAGAAAAAGACUAAUAUAGUUGCUAUUCAAAGUGAUAUCAUUAUUAUUUAUAAUGACAGAUGUGCUAGUCUUGUAGUUAAGGACAGUAAUUGGGUAAUUGACUCUGGUACUUUAUUUCAUGUUAUUUCUCAUAGUGAUUUUUUCAUAUAUUGCUUGUGAUUUUGGCAAUGUAAGAAUAGAAAAUAGUGGUACAUCUAAGAUUGUGGGUAUUGGAGAUAUUUGCUUACAGACCAGUAUUUGGAGCAAAUUGAUACUAAAAAAUAUCGAACAUAGUUCGAAUAUUCGUCUUAACUUGAUACCUAUAUGCAGACUUGAUGAUGAGAGAUUUUUACAUUAUUUUGGUGAAGGUAAAUGGAGGCUCACUAAAGGUUAUCUAAUUAUUGCGAGAUGAAAGAAGCUAAACUCUUUUUAUGUCAUGGAAGUUAAGUUAUACAAAGUAGAGAUAAAUGUAAUUCAAAAUGGUGAAAGCAUAGAUCUUUAGUAUAAGAGGAUUGGUCAUAUCAGUGAGAAGGGACUUCAAACUCUUACUAGAAAGCGGUUCUUAACGGAGUUGUAACGUACUUCUCUUAAAUCUUGUGAUCAUUGUUUUAGUAGAAAAACACAUAGAGUUGCCUUUCAUACUUAUCCACUAUCUAAAAGAUAAAAUAUUAUUGAUUUGAUUCACAUUGAUAUCUAUACUAUGCAAACUAGAAUUCUUGAUUGUGCUUUUUAUUUUGUUACUUUUAUUGAUGAUCAUUCUAGAAAAGUUUGAGCUUUUGUUUUAAAAUCUAAAUACUAGGUACUUAAUAUUUUCAAAGAGUUUCAUGUUAGUAUUGAAAGAGAAAUUGGUAGAAAGUUAAAAUAUGUUCGAGCAGAUAAUAGUGGUGAGUAUAGGGGUCAUUUUGAGAAUUAUUGUAGUUUCUAUGAUAUCAGGCUUGAGAAAAUGAUUUCUAAAACUCCUUAGCAAAAUGGUGUGGCAAAAAGAAUGAACAGAACAAUUGAAGAAAAGAUUAGGUAUAUACUUUCCCAUGUCAAGUUACCUAAGUCAUUUUGAGGGGAGGCUAUAAGAACUACAAUUGACUUGAUAAAUCUUUUUCCAUCAGUUCCUCUGAAAGAUGAUGUUCUAGAGAGAGUAUAAAAAUGAAAAGAUAUAUCUUAUGAUCAUUUGAGAGUCUUUGGGUAUAAAGUAUUUAUUUAUAUUCUCAAAGAUGAAAUGUCCAAGCUUGAUAAUAAAAUAAAAGCAUGUACUUUCUUGAAAUAUUGUUAUGAAGAGUUUGGAUAUAAUUUGGAUAUGAGAUUUAGUAAAUAAGAAGUUUAUUAGAAGCAGAGAUGUUGUAUUUCUUGAAGACCAAUUGAUUAUGGUGAUAAUAUUGAGAAGACAAAAAUCUUUGUUUAUAUUCCUUGGAGUUUAGGUCCAAUCUCUCAACCUGUAGUUCAUGAUGAUCAUGGGGGAGAUAAAUAAGAAGAUUGUGGUGAGAAUAUCACUCCUACAAUUGAUGAUAUCGAAUCAACUAAACAAGCACCUCCACCAUCAGUUGAAAUUUCAUUAAGAAGAUUCACAAGAGAGUGACGACCAUCUAAUGGAUAUUAUCCACAUGAGUAUAUUAUGCUUACUGAUGGGAGAGAGUCAGAAACUUAUCAAAAAGUUAUUUUACAUGAAUAUAAGAAUGAGUAGACUAAAACUAUGCAAAAAGAAAUAAGAUCUUUACUUGAGAACCACAUCUAUGACUUAGUAAAGUUGCCUAAAGGGAAGAAAACUCUCAAGAAUAAAUGUGUUUACAAAUUGAAGACUGAAAAUAAUAGCUCACAACAAAGAUAUAAGGCAUGACUAGUUAUGAAAUGAUUCAAUCAUUUCUACUUUGAAGAAAUAUUUUUUCCUAUGUUGAAAAUAUCCUCUAUCCGAGUUAUUUUUGGUUUGGUUGCCCGCUUGAAUUUAGAAUUUGAGCAACUUGAUGUGAAAAUUAUAUUUCUUCAUAGUGACUUAGAAGAAAAAAUUUACACAGAACAACUAGAAUGUUUCAAAGUCAAAGGAAAAGAAAAUCUAAUAUGUAAUCUUACGAAAAGCUUAUAUGGAUUUAAACAAGCACCCAAACAAUGGUACAAGAAGUUUGAUUCAUUUAUGAUGAGCCAAGGGUACAAUAGAACCAUAUCUAAUCAUUGUGUAUUUACAAAGAAGUUUUCAGAUGAUGAUUUCAUUAUUCACCUACUAUAUAUUAAUGAUAUGUUGAUUAUUAGCCAUGAUGCUUGUAAAAUUGAUAAACUUAAAAGAGAGUUAAAUAAGUCUUUUGCCAUGAAAGACUUAAGAUCGAUAAAACAAAUACUUGACAUAAAGAUUCUUCGUGAUAGGAAUAAAUAAAAGAUUUGACUAUCUUAGGAGACCUACAAUGAAAAGGUUCUUGAAAGAUUCAACAUGAGUAAAGCUAAAGCAGUUUAUCCUCCACUUGUAGGUUAUUUCAAGCUUAGUUUGGAAUAAUAUCCUACAAGUAAGAAAGAAAAAUAAAUGUCUAGAAUGCCUUACUCAUCUAUAAUAGGUAGUUUGAUAUAUAUUAUGGUUUCUACUAGGUUAGAUAUAGCUCAUACAAUUGGAGUUAUCAACUGAUUUCUCUCUAAUCCUAAUAAGGAACAUUGAGCAGUAAUGAAAUGAAUAUUAAGAUAUUUGAUAGGUACUUCUAGGUUGUGUGUAUGUUUUAGUAGUGAUGAACCAGUGCUAAAGGGGUAUAUAGAUGCAGACAUGACAUAUGAUACUGAUUCCAAGAAAUUCAUUUCGAGGUUCUUGAUAACGUUUGCAGGGGGAGCAAUCUCUUGGUAGUCAAGUUAUAAAAUUAUGUUGCUCUAUCAACCACAGAAGCAUAAUAUAUAUCAAUUAUUGAAGCAUGCAGGGAAGCUUUAUGGAUAAAAAAGUUUCUACAUAAAUUAGACUUGAAACAAAAAGGAUAUAUUGUUUAUUGUGAUAAUCAAAGUGUCAUUUACCUCUCUAAGAAUUCAACAUACUAUUCUAGAUCCAAGCAUAUUGAUGUAAAAUAUUACUAGAUUCGUGAUGUGAUUGAGAUUAAAGAAUUACACUUAGAAAAUAUGUAUACUUAUGAGAAUGGAUCAGACAUGUUGAUAAAGUCUUUUCCAAGGAGAAGCUUGAAGCAUAUAGGCGUAAAGCGAGCUUAGUACAAUCUACCAUAUGAGUUGGAGAGGAAGAAUUAUUGGGUCCAGCCCAUAGGUGGGCUUGAAUCAAUUGAUUUGAGCAUUGAGCCCAAAUAUAAUAUAUUAAAAAAAUAAUAAUAAAAUGAAAGUGGCGUGUGUGUGCAUGUAGUGAACAAAGAGAAAGAGAACAAAGAGAGCAAAAGGAGAGAGAUAAAGUUAAGAUUUUGAGGUUUUAGCUAGAUAAUCAAGCGGUUAAAUUUUAUUGGUUUUGACUCAAAUUUUAUAUGAAAAAUCCUUACAACAAGUACUGAUAUACAAUUUAUUCUCUCUAAGAUACUUUUCUAUUAUACCCAUUUGAUGAGAUCUAAAAAUUUUUCUUUUAUAAAAUCCAUAUAUGGUUAUGAUGAUAUGUUAUUGUUGAGUCAAGAUAUAUAUUUUUAAAAUUAUUAUGAUACUCUGAUUAUUCUGAAGAAAAUUUAUUAUAAAUUUAUUAUUAUUAUCGAUAAUAGUAGAAGUUUAAAGUGGAUUACGUUCCGUGAUUUUUCUCGUAUUGAGUUUUUUACGUAAAAAAUUUGGUAUCUUACGUUAUGAUUGAUUCAUUGUUUUACUAUUUAUACUGUUCUGAUUAAUAUUUAUUUUUAAUAAUAAAUUAAUAUUUUGAUAAGAAACCUAUUUUAAUAUAUAAAUAAAAAAAAAUUAUUCGACUAUAAUAAUUUUUCCUAACACUCGUUUGUGAGUGGACGAAGGAUAACAUCCAAGCAAACUGAGUUGCACCCGGUCACAUCGUAACGCCACUCACUGAGCCGGUAAUGGACACUCAACUUAGCGACGUUUAGUUUCCGUGCGUAUCACGGUACCAAGUAGCAUAUAUACGCGUAUCACGGUCACAUCGUAACCCUCUUGGACGUCUGGGUGAGGCCGAGACUUAGCACCGGUGGUCGCUUUCCUCUGUCUUCCUCUACGUCAAUGGCCAAGUUGUGGUUGUCGAUGGAGGUCGAACCGUGAACGGCACCGCAUAAGCUUCCGAUCGGUCGAUAUCGAUCACCGUGGCGAGUUAUAUGAUAGACUGUGUGUGCUGCGAUGUCUUUCUAAUACUUGGUCUGAAUAUUCGCAACGUUGUGUAAAAUAAUUAAGAUGCUCGCGUACACAAUGAUGCGUGCACAAGCAGACAAUGGUGAACGUACCCACCCAUUUAGAACACUCAAUGUGGUAUCAGAUUGUGGGAAGGGUGUUCCGUGUGAUUCCUAUGAUUGAUAAGCCAUCCAUCGUACUUUCGAAACCAAUUAAAUAACGAAGAGGAAGAGUGGAUAGAUUUACAAGACUAUUAUUCAUUUCCACUCAUAAAUAUGACUAUAAGAGCUAAUUAUAAAAUAUUUCUGUAAUAAAUUACUUUUAAUAUAUUAUUUUUUAUAUUUUUAAAAAUUACAUUGAUAAAUCGAAACGAGACCAUGGUAAAUUUUAUGAUAUUUUGACAACGUGAAUAGAAACGAGAUUAAAUAUUUUUUUUUAUAAAUAUUGCAAGUAUAAAGAUGUAAAUGUUAAAUGUAGUUAACUAUAGAAAAUAAUUUUUUAUGUUGUGGAAUAUAAAUAUUUGAGAGAAUAUUUUUUUAUUUAGAUAUCAGAACACUUCGGGGUGAAUAUUUUAUGGAGCCACGAGCCAAAGAGAAGAGACCAAAAAAAAAAUCACAUUCGAGAUGAUAGAGGAUUGAAGGCUAAGUACAGUUGGCACAAUCCUUCGUCCAUCUCAUACCAACGAAGUUUCCGAGUAAGUCAUAUUUAUCUACAGAAAUUAUAAUAUAAUUAGGAAAAUGUGUGUGGACACGACUUCUAUUGAUCCAAUGUGCAUACAGUUUCCACAUCUUAGCUAUAAAUGGACUGAAGUAGGAAGAAACAAAGAAGAAGAAGAAGAAGGAAAACAAUGGAGGGUGGCGACCAGAAGUGCGACGAUAACCAAGCGGUGGGGAGAUGGACUCUUGUAGGAACAACAGCUUUGGUCACCGGAGGCACUAAAGGAAUCGGGUAUCGUCAUCUUUCUUCAUACAUUUGCUCAUCCACCUCACAGCACAAACAAGUUCAUACUGAAAUCUGGAGUCUAAUGCCUGCCGAAAUUAAGGAGCUUAUGUCCAUCUUAUUAUGAGGUUUUCUCUUCCGUUCUUUUAUGGUGAUCAGACAUGCCAUAGUAGAAGAACUAGCGAGAUUUGGUG